GACGAACGCUGGCGGCGUGCUUAACACAUGCAAGUCGAACGGAAAGGCCCUGCUUUUGUGGGGUGCUCGAGUGGCGAACGGGUGAGUAACACGUGAGUAACCUGCCCUUGACUUUGGGAUAACUUUAGGAAACUGGGGCUGAUACCGGAUAGGAGCUCCUGCUGCAUGGUGGGGGUUGGAAAGUUUCGGCGGUUGGGGAUGGACUCGCGGAUUAUCAGCUUGUUGGUGGGGUAGUGGCUUACCAAGGCUUUGACGGGUAGCCGGCCUGAGAGGGGGACCGGCCACAUUGGGACUGAGAUACGGCCCAGACUCCUACGGGAGGCAGCAGUGGGGAAUAUUGCACAAUGGGCGGAAGCCAGAUGCAGCAACGCCGCGUGCGGGAUGACGGCCUUCGGGUUGUAAACCGCUUUCGCCUGUGACGAAGCGUGAGUGACGGUAAUGAGUAAAGAAGCACCGGCUAACUACGUG
rnacentral:rRNA from 1 species